CCUACGGGUGGCAGCAGUGGGGAAUUUUGCGCAAUGCUCGUAAGAGUGACGCAGCGACGCCGCGUGAAUGACGAAGGCCUUCGGGUCGUUAAGUUUUUUCGACAGGGAAGAAAAUGCAUAUAAGUAACUGUGUAUGUAUUGACGGUACCUGUAUAAGUCGCCUCGGCUAACUCCGUGCCAGCAGCCGCGGUAAUACGGAGGGGGCGAGCGUGGUUCGGAGUGACUGGGCGUAAAGAGCACGUAGGAGGGGAUGUAAGUCAUUAGUCAAAGACUAGAGCUCCACUUUAGUAAAGCUAGUGAUACUAUAAUACUAGAGUAUCAGAGAGGAUUGCAGAAUUCCUGGUGUAGCGGUGAAAUGCGUAGAUAUCAGGAGGAAUACCGUUAGCGAAGGCAGCAAACUGGCUGGAAACUGACGCUGAGGUGCGAAAGCGUGGGUAGCAAACAGGAUUAGAUACCCGAGUAGUC
rnacentral:rRNA from 1 species